rnacentral:rRNA from 1 species
GUGUCAGCAGCCGCGGUAAUACGUAGGGGGCGAGCGUUGUCCGGAUUUACUGGGCGUAAAGCGCGUGUAGGCGGUCGUUUAAGUCCGGGGUGAAAGCCGGGGGCUCAACCCCCGAACGGCGCCGGAAACUGGACGGCUUGAGUGUCGGAGAGGGGAGUGGAAUUCUGGGUGUAGCGGUGAAAUGCGUAGAGAUCCAGAGGAACACCGGUGGCGAAGGCGGCUCCCUGGCCGAACACUGACGCUGAGACGCGAAAGCGUGGGGAGCGAACGGGAUUAGAAACCCCCGUAGUCC